rnacentral:rRNA from 1 species
AUUGAACGCUGGCGGCAGGCCUAACACAUGCAAGUCGAGCGAGCGGCGGACGGGUGAGUAAUGUCUGGGAAACUGCCUGAUGGCGGGGGAUAACUACUGGAAACGGUCGCUAAUACCGCAUACCAUCAGAUGUGCCCAGAUGGGAUUCACUGGUAGGUGGGGUAAAGGCUCACCUAGGCGACGAUCCCUAGCUGGUCUGAGAGGAUGACCAGCCAGACGGGAACGGAGACACGGUCCAGACUCCUACGGGAGGCAGCAGUGGGGAAUAUUGCACAAUGGGCGCAAGCCGGAUGCAGCCAAGCGGGGUGUGGGAAGAAGGCCUUCGGGUUGUAAAGCACUUUCAGCGGGAAGGCGUUACCCGCAGAAGAAGCACCGGCUAACUCCGUGCCAGCAGCCGCGGUAAUAC